GCAAGUCGAACGCCCUCUUCGGAGGGAGUGGCAGACGGGUGAGUAACGCGUGGGAAUCUUACUAGCACUACGGAACAACAGUUAGAAAUGACUGCUAAUACCGAAUACGCCCUCCGGGGGAUAGAUUUAUCGGUGCUAGAUGAGCCCGCGUUGGAUUAGCUUGUUGGUGAGGUAAUGGCCCACCAAGGCGACGAUCCAUAGCUGGUCUGAGAGGAUGAUC
rnacentral:rRNA from 1 species